UUUCCGUAGGUGAACCUGCGGAAGGAUCAUUGUCGAAACCUGCGAGGCAGAACGACCCGAGAACAAGUGAAGACCAUCGCGGGUGUCGGGCCCCCGGGCCGGUCGCCCGAAGUCCGAGGAGAGGGCCGCGGGCAACUACGGCCCCUCUACUCCGGGCACAAACAACGAACCCCGGCGCAAAUUGCGUCAAGGAAACAGAAAAAGUAUGUGCGAGAUCCCCCCGUCCCGGGAACGGUGUCGCGGGGGGCUCCGCCGUCGUCGAUAUCAUGGACGAAACGACUCUCGGCAACGGAUAUCUCGGCUCUCGCAUCGAUGAAGAACGUAGCGAAAUGCGAUACUUGGUGUGAAUUGCAGAAUCCCGUGAACCAUCGAGUUUUUGAACGCAAGUUGCGCCCGAAGCCGUCAGGCCGAGGGCACGCCUGCCUGGGUGUCACGCAAUGUCGCCACGAAUCCCAUCGCCCCCCUUCCGCGGGGAAUGCCGAGGGAUGGCGGAGAUUGGCCUCCCGUGGGCUCUCGCUCGCGGUUGGCCCAAAAAACAGCCCCCUGGCGACGGCAGCCACGGCACACGAUGGUUGGCAGCAGUAGCUCCUCUAACACCGUCGUGGGCGAGCCUCGUCGAUGGGGUGCAAAAGGCCCCGACGCAAGCGUCCCCAAAGAGCGACCCCAGGUCAGGCGGGAACACCCGCUGAGUUUAA
rnacentral:rRNA from 1 species